AUACGUAGGGGGCGAGCGUUGUCCGGAAUGAUUGGGCGUAAAGGGCGCGUAGGCGGCCCGGUAAGUCUGGAGUGAAAGUCCUGUUUUUAAGAUGGGAAUUGCUUUGGAUACUGAUGGGCUUGAGUGCAGGAGAGGUUAUCGGAAUUCCCGGUGUAGCGGUGAAAUGCGUAGAGAUCGGGAGGAACACCAGUGGCGAAGGCGGGUAACUGGACUGCAACUGACGCUGAGGCGCGAAAGUGUGGGGAGCAAACAGGAUUAGAUACCCUGGUAGUCCACACUGUAAACGAUGAAUACUAGGUGUGGGGGGACUGACCCCCUCCGUGCCGCAGUUAACACAAUAAGUAUUCCACCUGGGGAGUACGAUCGCAAGAUUGAAACUCAAAUGAAUUGACGGGG
rnacentral:rRNA from 1 species